CUCUACUUCUCUAGCGAAGGUAGAAAGUUCCUCAUUAGCGAGUCACUCAUUUUCAUCGAGAACGCCACCUUCUCUACCUCUCUACUCAUUCAUUUUCAUUUCAAACGCCUUGCUAAUUUCCUUUUUUACUUCUCCAAAAACCCUAACAGCGCCAGCGCCAUCGCCAUCAUUUUUGAUCAGCCUAGUUCACGGUAACUAUUUGGUUUCAAGUAACAAUUCCCGCCUCUCGUUGUUUCACUUCCAAUUCAUCAAAAGCUCAGUGGUACCAGAUUUCACCUCACUGUAACAAAAAUGUCCUGGUGUGAAUGCUCCAACAAUCCAUGAUCAUGAUUUUUUUUGAAGCAUGAUCAUGAUGAUUGUGCUGUUCUGUCUGUGGAAGGGUUAUUGAUCAGGAAGUGUUCUCCGCUUAAGCUACUUCUUUUGUAGAGGCUGGAGGACAGAGUCAAUGUGUGAAGCUUUGUGAGGAGCGUGGAAAGCAGUUACUCAGUGUCAUACGAAAGGACUGAAUAACGGAAGAAAGGAAAUUGAUCAUAUGGCAACAAGUCUCUUAAUAGGUGGUGGUGGUUCUGUGAUUGAUGAAGUGGCAGGGUAUUACAAGGAAUUCACUGGUGGGCGGAGGACAGGUUGCGGCUGCUUGUCUUUGCGUCACAUGUCAAAAAAACGAAAAGCCACACCUUCUCAUUGAUCUUUUCAGAAUAUUUACAGAUAAAUGACUCUGCAAAUUGCUGAGACUUGAACAGCAUGACUUUGUUCAGAAACUUGUUGAUCGUACUCUUUCAUUCAUCGAUUUACAGAACGUUUAUUGGGAAAGAAGAGUGUAGUGUUGUCUAAUACUGCAUUGCUCAUCAUAGCUAGCAUGAAGCGAGAUUGGAUGCAGACGGGGCGAAAACCUAGUGGCUAGUUUGGUCCAGCAUUGUGCAUAUCUGCACUCUCCCAUGGACUUGGGUAUUCAAAGGCAAAUGUUUUCAUCAAACUUUCUGGAGGACUUCAAGGAGGUUCAGAAACUCCAGCAUUCCAGCGUGCUGAAAGGGAGAGAAUGGCAAAAGCUACUGCAGAAACCAAUGCUUUGAAAAGCUCAGUCUCAUCUUUCGAAGAGACUCCAGAUGCUGUUGAAAAAGAGAAACUCAGCCCUGAACCAUCACGUCGUGUUGGUUGGUUGCUCUACCCAGAGUGCUGAAGCGUACUAAACAAAAGUAUAUCUUGCCAUCUCGUAUAACUCUCAAGCUAUUUUAUAAAUUCCAGGACAAGAAGGUGCUACUAUUGGACAUCAGGAGGUUGUUAAGGAAGAUAGUGAAUACAAUAGCUGGUGAUGAAUCAGAAAGCCUAUCUGACAUCAACGAUACUGAGGUGGAAGGAUACCUUCACAACGAGGAGGAAAAGCACUAUAAAAGGAUAAUCUGGGAAGAGAUGAGUAAGGAGUAUAUUGAGGAACAAGCAGCUAAAGAAGCAGUGGCAGCAGCUGCUAAUUUGCGGAACUGUCCAGUGGAAGCACAGGAACUUGCUUUGUUGCCAAGCCAUAAAGAGACUAAACUCCAGAAUCAACUAUGAUGUGUUGGACAACCCUCUGAUGACUCUACGACUGCUGAGUCCGUAAAAGUGAAGCGGACUGAAUGUGAUAAAAGAGACAUUCCUCCUAAGAUAGAAGUCAGGGGUGAGGAGGACGAAGAUAUGAUCGUUGACAUGUCAGUUGGGGUACUUUUACAUACAUUAUUGAUAGUUUGUUUUUCUCUAAGCCAAACCGGGAGGAAUGCGAAACUUGUAGUACUAGUCUAAACUGUUAACAAAUGCUGAACUAAGUUACUCAAUAGCCAAUUAAAAAGAAUGUAUACCACAGAACUGAUAGACUGAAACAGUUACAUUAUUUUAAAGCAGUACAUAAUAGAUAUAUUCUUACGGUUACGUUA